rnacentral:rRNA from 1 species
UGGGGAAUAUUGCACAAUGGACGAAAGUCUGAUGCAGCGACGCCGCGUGAGGGAAGAAGGUUUUCGGAUUGUAAACCUCUGUCUUCGGGGACGAAACAAAUGACGGUACCCGAAGAGGAAGCCACGGCUAACUACGUGCCAGCAGCCGCGGUAAAACGUAGGUGGCAAGCGUUGUCCGGAAUUACUGGGUGUAAAGGGAGCGCAGGCGGGAUGGCAAGUUGGGCGUGAAAACUAUGGGCUUAACCCAUAGACUGCGCUCAAAACUGCUGUUCUUGAGUGAUGGAGAGGUAGGCGGAAUUCCCGGUGUAGCGGUGGAAUGCGUAGAUAUCGGGAGGAACACCAGUGGCGAAGGCGGCCUACUGGACAUCAACUGACGCUGAGGCUCGAAAGUAUGGGGAGC